rnacentral:lncRNA from 1 species
GUUAAAAAAACAAAUAGAUCAUCCCAUAAAAAAAGAUAUCUCAUGUCCUAAAACAAGAAAUAUCAUCACAUAAUUUUAUUCUCCUUUAAUCCUGAUACAAUAAACAGGAGAUGUCAUUCUAUAUAAAAAAGAGGAGAUGUCACGUAAUCUCCAUUAAUCUCUCAUCCCCACGCUGAACUUGCCAAAUUUUCUGUAGCUUUCCUUCUCUAGCACGGCAACAUUAGAUCUCCAUCUAAUCUCCAUCUAUUAUGCUAUAGCUUUCCUUCCCUAGCACGAUAAUGGCUAAUCUCCAUGUAAUUCCCCAUCUUCUACACUUUUCCGUCCAGAAUAUUCAAUCUUCCUCACCCUCGCGGCUUGGGUUCCAUCCAUGAAACCUUUGCAGGAAGGAGGAGAAGAUCGCAGAGGACGGCCCUAAUCCAGUCCACCAACACAUCUAAUUUUGUGGAUGCCAUGGAUGCAAGGACAUGCAAAUUUCUGUAGCCUUCCUUCUCUAGCACGGUAACGCUUGAUCUGCUUCUAAUUCCUCAUUCUUAUGUUGUAGCUUUCUUUCCUUAAGUCGAUAAUGUUAAUCUCAAUCUAAUUCCACAUCUUCUAUACCUUUAUGUGUAGAAUCCUCAAUCUUAUUCUCCCUCACGAGUUGAGUUCAAUUCGAGAAACCUGUGCUGGAAGAAGGCCUAGAUUGCAGACAACAGCCCUGAUCAAGUCCACCAGCACAUCUACUUUGGUGGAUCUUCUCAAAAAAAAAUCUACUUUGGUGGAAGCGAUGGAUGCAAGGACAUGCAUGUACGGAUGAUACAUGACCAGCAAGGGUGUUCAUGGGGUGGCGCAUACUUUACCCGUAGUGAUACAUGCUGCUUUUCCAUGAUGCAGAAAAUUGUCGAUGUAUUAUGUUACAGCAAACCCAUUGUUUUGUUAACGAGGGGAUCACCUAUUUUUAAACAUGUGUACAUAAUUUCUCUAUUUAUAUUUCUUUAAUUUAUCUCCAAGAUCCUCAAAAUAUUUAUAUAUUUCUACUAGCAAAAUGAAACCAGGAGUGCUGCAUACUAAAUGUAGAAUUUUGCCAAGUUCUGGUAAGUUAUUCAUUUGGCUGCUAUACAUGUGGAUGAUGACCUUUUCUGGUAAGUUAUUCAUUUUGCCAAGUUCUGGUAAGUUAUUCAUUUGGUACUCCUGCAAGGGCUACCAAGAGCAUGCUACAUAGGUAUCCUUAUGUUAAACUCCCAUUUUUACAUAAAAAAUACGGUUGAUUUUUCUUAAUUUGCUUUAUUUUUUCCAUAUGCUGGGUCAAUUUAUUAUUGGUUCAAAGUGACAAGAAAAUGAAGAUUCUAUAACUCAAGCUGACAAGACGAAGGACCAUCCCGCGAGCGCUACCGUCAUCACCCAUUCUCCCAUCCAAGCUGAUGUCGUUGACUUUUACCCCAAAGGGGACAUGAUAGCCUUUCAUGUGAUUCUGUUUAUAUCUUUCUGAUUAGUUUUCCUUAGACCAGGUAUUUUGAUUAUCUAAUAAACAUAGCCCUCUAAGUUAGGUUCAUAUCAGGACUCUAGAUGCAGGGUUAUCUCCGCCAGAUUGUUUCUGAUCAGCUAAUAGUUGAGUCCUAGCUUGAGUGUAGGAAAUCUCCAUGAACAAAUUUCUUUAGAGAAAAUAGAACAUGCGAUCAAUAGUAACAAGGUGUGAUCAAGUAUACGAGUUAUAUAUGUAUCUCUCUACUUGCAGCAGUAAAAUUUAUUCUAUUCAUGCUGCUUCAGUUUCGUUAUUGGUUUGAUAUGGGAACAAAAAAAACUUGAGAUGGGUCUAUUUUUUUGGAUGACUGGAUUUCAUAAGUUCUUAUUGACAAUAACACUGAAACUUAAGUUAUGCUAUAGAAAAUCAUACCCAAUCUGCAUAAGAUACACUUUUAGUACCAUUAGGACCUCUGACAUAUGUGUUAGAUCCAAUAAGUUUUGUUGUUACUAAUUUUGGGAUACUACUAAUCAUCUUUACUAUACCCACUGAUAUGUCUACAUGUUGCAGUAGAGUUCUCCAUUUCAUUAGGGUGGUAAUCCUUCUUAGAACAAAUAUUCUGAUAGAUUAGCAAUAUUUAGACAAUAACGUGGCCACUAUAGGAUAUUGCAAAUUUUUGGAUUACGACAACUAGGUAAAAUUAUGACAGGUGUUUCGUUUUUUUUCAUAAUGAGAUUGCAAAAGUAUUUAGAAAAAAUGCAUUACUAUUUUCCUCUUAUUUUAUAUUAUGCUUUACGGACCGAGAC